rnacentral:rRNA from 1 species
GACGAACGUUGGCGGCGUUGCUUAACACAUGCAAGUCGAACGGAAAGGCCCUGCUUUUGUGGGGUGCUCGAGUGGCGAACGGGUGAGUAACACGUGAGUAACCUGCCCUUGACUUUGGGAUAACUUCAGGAAACUGGGGCUAAUACCGGAUAGGAGCUCCUGCUGCAUGGUGGGGGUUGGAAAGUUUCGGCGGUUGGGGAUGGACUCGCGGCUUAUCAGCUUGUUGGUGGGGUAGUGGCUUACCAAGGCUUUGACGGGUAGCCGGCCUGAGAGGGUGACCGGCCACAUUGGGACUGAGAUACGGCCCAGACUCCUACGGGAGGCAGCAGUGGGGAAUAUUGCACAAUGGGCGGAAGCCUGAUGCAACAACGCCGCGUGCGGGAUGACGGCCUUCGGGUUGUAAACCGCUUUCGCCUGUGACGAAGCGUGAGUGACGGUAAUGGGUAAAGAAGCACCGGCUAACUACGUGCCAGCAGCCGCGGUGAUACGUAGGGUGCGAGCGUUGUCCGGAUUUAUUGGGCGUAAAGGGCUCGUAGGUGGUUGAUCGCGUCGGAAGUGUAAUCUUGGGGCUUAACCCUGAGCGUGCUUUCGAUACGGGUUGACUUGAGGAAGGUAGGGGAGAAUGGAAUUCCUGGUGGAGCGGUGGAAUGCGCAGAUAUCAGGAGGAACACCAGUGGCGAAGGCGGUUCUCUGGGCCUUUCCUGACGCUGAGGAGCGAAAGCGUGGGGAGCGAACAGGCUUAGAUACCCUGGUAGUCCACGCUGUAAACGGUGGGUACUAGGUGUGGGGUCCAUUCCACGGGUUCCGUGCCGUAGCUAACGCUUUAAGUACCCCGCCUGGGGAGUACGGCCGCAAGGCUAAAACUCAAAGGAAUUGACGGGGCCCCGCACAAGCGGCGGAGCAUGCGGAUUAAUUCGAUGCAACGCGUAGAACCUUACCUGGGUUUGACAUGGAUCGGGAGUGCUCAGAGAUGGGUGUGCCUCUUUUGGGGUCGGUUCACAGGUGGUGCAUGCCUGUCGUCAGCUCGUGUCGUGAGAUGUUGGGUUAAGUCCCGCAACGAGCGCAACCCUUGUUCACUGUUGCCAGCACGUUAUGGUGGGGACUCAGUGGAGACCGCCGGGGUCAACUCGGAGGAAGGUGGGGAUGACGUCAAGUCAUCAUGCCCCUUAUGUCCAGGGCUUCACGCAUGCUACAAUGGCUGGUACAGAGAGUGGCGAGCCUGUGAGGGUGAGCGAAUCUCGGAAAGCCGGUCUCAGUUCGGAUUGGGGUCUGCAACUCGACCCCAUGAAGUCGGAGUCGCUAGUAAUCGCAAAUCAGCAACGCUGCGGUGAAUACGUUCCCGGG